GCAUGCAGGUCUAUGUUUUAUAUCAACACCAUAUGAAUGUUAUAGAAUGUGCUUUGGGCUUUUUAGCCUUUAAAUCAUAUACAACUUUCAACAACGGAUCUCUUGGCUCUCGCAUCGAUGAAGAACGCAGCGAAAUGCGAUAAGUAAUGUGAAUUGCAGAAUUCAGUGAAUCAUCGAAUCUUUGAACGCACCUUGCGCUCCUUGGUAUUCCGAGGAGCAUACCUGUUUGAGUGUCAUUAAAUUCUCAAUCCCUACAAUCUUGUGUUGUCAGGUGAUUGGAUUAUGGGGGCUUGCUGGCCUUGUUCAGCUCCCCUUAAAAGCAUUAGCAGGACAUUAUGCCAUCUGUGCUUUGUAUGAUAUCUAUCUAUACACUGUACUCGUUGUGCACAACUGCUUCCAACUGUCAUCUGACAUUUGACCAAUUUGACCUCAAAUCAGGUAGGACUACCCGCUGAACUUAAGCAUAUCAAUAAGCGGAGGAAAAGAAACUAACAAGGAUUCCCCUAGUAACUGCGAGUGAAGCGGGAAAAGCUCAAAUUUAAAAUCUGGCGGUCUCUGGCUGUCCGAGUUGUAAACUAGAGAAGCGUUUUCCGUGC
rnacentral:rRNA from 1 species